rnacentral:rRNA from 1 species
GUAGGGAAUCUUCCGCAAUGGACGAAAGUCUGACGGAGCAACGCCGCGUGAGUGAUGAAGGCCUUCGGGUCGUAAAACUCUGUUGUUAGGGAAGAACAAGUAUCGGAGUAACUGCCGGUACCUUGACGGUACCUAACCAGAAAGCCACGGCUAACUACGUGCCAGCAGCCGCGGUAAUACGUAGGUGGCAAGCGUUGUCCGGAAUUAUUGGGCGUAAAGCGCGCGCAGGCGGUCCUUUAAGUCUGAUGUGAAAGCCCACGGCUCAACCGUGGAGGGUCAUUGGAAACUGGGGGACUUGAGUGCAGAAGAGGAAAGCGGAAUUCCACGUGUAGCGGUGAAAUGCGUAGAGAUGUGGAGGAACACCAGUGGCGAAGGCGGCUUUCUGGUCUGUAACUGACGCUGAGGCGCGAAAGCGUGGGGAGCAAACAGG